UACGAAGGGGGCUAGCGUUGCUCGGAAUCACUGGGCGUAAAGGGUGCGUAGGCGGGUCUUUAAGUCAGGGGUGAAAUCCUGGAGCUCAACUCCAGAACUGCCUUUGAUACUGAAGAUCUUGAGUUCGGGAGAGGUGAGUGGAACUGCGAGUGUAGAGGUGAAAUUCGUAGAUAUUCGCAAGAACACCAGUGGCGAAGGCGGCUCUCUGGACCGUAACUGACGCUGAGGCGCGAAAGCGUGGGGAGCAACAGG
rnacentral:rRNA from 1 species